rnacentral:rRNA from 1 species
GGCGCACGGGUGAGUAACACGUAGGUAAUCUGCCUUCAGGACUGACAUAACUCCGCGAAAGCGGGACUAAAAUCAGAUGAUGCAGCGGCUCGACAUCGAGGCAGUUGUUAAACCUUCGGGGCCUGAAGAUGAGCCUGCGUCUGAUUAGGUAGUUGGAGGGGUAAUGGCCCACCAAGCCUGCGAUCAGUAGCUGGUCUGAGAGGAUGAUCAGCCACACUGGAACUGAGACACGGUCCAGACUCCUACGGGAGGCAGCAGUAAGGAAUAUUGCUCAAUGGCCGAAAGGCUGAAGCAGCAACGCCGCGUGGAGGAUGAAAUACUUUAGUAUGUAAACUCCUGUAAGAGGGGAAAAUAUACAGUUCUGCUGUAUUGAUUGUACCCUCAGAGUAAGCACCGGCUAACUACGUG